UUACGGUCAAAUCACGCUGAAACACCGGUUCUCGUACGAUCACCGAAGUUAAGCAUCGUAGAGCCAGGUCAGUACUUAGAUGGGGGACCACUUGGGAACACCUGGUACUGUAAG
rnacentral:rRNA from 1 species